UCUCCCUGCUGCGUCGUAUCCUUUGUCACUCCUUCGCUCUCUGCAACGAAAUCUUUGCUCUCCAGUAACUGGCAAGGAGGCAGCGACCGUCGGCCGACAAGGAGACAGCAAGCAUCGGUUGACGAGGCAACGAAGGGCGGCUACACCCGAGGCGAUCGUUGCCUCACCAUCAAAAGUUCAUAGUUCUAAUUAGUCGUCAAGUGUAAUCUCUCGCCUUGCAGUGGUAAGUCAACGGCGACCGCCUUCCUCGUCGACGUUAUUCAGUUCGUGGAUGACCCAAACCGUUGAUAUGCCAAUGGAGAAAAACCUACAGGGUGCGCUUAGAUCAGAAGUUGAUAGGUCAUUAUCUAAAAACAACAUCAUAAUUGUCGACUCUAUAAACAACAUUCAGGUGAAUGAUUUAUUAUUGUGACGUUAAUUCUUGUUAUCAAACUUGGCUAAACUAAGUCAUGUCUGGAAUUAGUAUCUAUUUUAUUUUUCUUGUCUUUUUAAUUACUCUAGCUUUAAGUUUGUUUUCUGAACAUGAAAAGUUGACUAAAUUGACAUUUAAUUUUAAUUCCA